CAUCACCGAAUCAUGAUGUUUCUGUUUAUCCCUUUAAAACUGCUUUGAAACAUAAGUAUUCUUCUCUGGUUGCAUUGUGUGUACUUCCAGCUAACUUUAGAACUUAUCGUGUGUCCAUUUCAAUGACCAUAAAACAUGAAUACUGUAGCAAACCUUGUGCUAUUCUUGAAUCUUAACAAGUAACAUACCUUAUCUUCCUCCAUUUUUGUCAGGUUCUCACUGGGGACACCCCUCUCUCUCAAUGUAGAGAUUAAGUCCAUAUUUUCUGCAGGAAACUAGUAACUUUAUGAAGAAGAUUUCAGCAACCAAAGCAUUCACUAAUGGCACGGGGUUUUCUCGCGAUAGCUAAAAUUACGUCGUGAGAAAAUGGGUUUUACACUGACAUCACGAGAAAAUUAAGUCGUUAUAAUGAGAAAAUGACCUUCGUUAUGUCGAGAUAACAAGAAGGAAAAAAAUUAUAAUGCAUGGCUGCUUAGAACUUCCGUAGCUGACACAGCAUCAGAAACUGUAGUCUGUAUGACUGCUGGAUCAUUAAUCAGAGUGAUUGUGAGUAUUGUAGAGAUUGCAGUGUUUGCUGCUCCUACUGUGAUUCUUCUUCAGAUCAUCUGUGCGAGAAGAGCUGGAAGGAAGAACUCUCAUCACCAAAAUGAAAUAGAGAUGUCUGCAGUUCUACAAUGAAAUACUC